rnacentral:rRNA from 1 species
AGAGUUUGAUCCUGGCUCAGAACGUACGCUGGCGGCACGCCUAACACAUGCAAGUCGAACGAAGUAGCAAUACUUAGUGGCAGACGGGUGAGUAACAUGUAGGUAUCUUCCCUUUGGCCUGGAAUAACACGAGGAAACUUGUGCUAAUACUGGAUAAGUCUUUACGGAGAAAGCUUUAUGCACCAUUGGAUGAGCCUGCACUUGAUUAGUUUGUUGGUGGGGUAAUGGCCUACCAAGACUUUGAUCAAUAGCUGAUUUGAGAGGAUGAUCAGCCACAUUGGGACUGAGACACGGCCCAAACUCCUACGGGAGGCAGCAGUGGGGAAUCUUGCACAAUGGAGGAAACUCUGAUGCAGCGAUGCCGCGUGAGUGAAGAAGGCCCUUGGGUUGUAAAGCUCUUUCGUCGGGGAAGAAAAUGACUGUACCCGAAUAAGAAGGUCCGGCUAACUUCGUGCCAGCAGCCGCGGUAAUACGAAGGGACCUAGCGUAGUUCGGAAUUACUGGGCUUAAAGAGUUCGUAGGUGGUUGAAAAAGUUGGUGGUGAAAUCCCAGAGCUUAACUCUGGAACUGCCAUCAAAACUUUUCAGCUAGAGUUUGAUAGAGGAAAGCAGAAUUUCUAGUGUAGAGGUGAAAUUCGUAGAUAUUAGAAAGAAUACCAAUUGCGAAGGCAGCUUUCUGGAUCAUUACUGACACUGAGGAACGAAAGCAUGGGGUAGCGA